AAUCGCUCCUCGUGUGGUUGAAUCACCUUCUCCUCUUGUUUCAAUGACCUGGCUAAUUCCAGCAAAUCACAAUCUUCUUCGCCUUUUUCUCUGGCAUGAUAGAUCGAAUUGUCGAAGUCAUACAGAGGUGUAACCAAAUCGUUAUCGGUGAGAUCAGGAGAGUAAUCACUUUGGAACGAGACAAAAUCAAAAGGAAAGAGAAUGAAAAAAAGUUGCCAUUUUUAUUUGUUUUUUUCUUCCUUUUUUAAAUUGCAAAAUUAAAUGAAAAACAGGGAACACCGCUUUUAACUACAAAAACAUCCAUUCAUUACUGAUGCAAAAUGUUGCAUAAUGAAACACA
rnacentral:lncRNA from 1 species